rnacentral:rRNA from 1 species
AGAGUUUGAUCCUGGCUCAGAACGAACGCUGGCGGCAUGCCUAACACAUGCAAGUCGAACGAGACCUUCGGGUCUAGUGGCGCACGGGUGCGUAACGCGUGGGAAUCUGCCCUUCGGUUCGGAACAACAGUUAGAAAUGACUGCUAAUACCGGAUAAUGACGUAAGUCCAAAGAUUUAUCGCCGAAGGAUGAGCCCGCGUAAGAUUAGGUAGUUGGUGGGGUAAUGGCCUACCAAGCCGACGAUCUUUAGCUGGUCUGAGAGGAUGAUCAGCCACACUGGGACUGAGACACGGCCCAGACUCCUACGGGAGGCAGCAGUGGGGAAUAUUGGACAAUGGGCGAAAGCCUGAUCCAGCAAUGCCGCGUGAGUGAUGAAGGCCUUAGGGUUGUAAAGCUCUUUACCAGGGAUGAUAAUGACAGUACCUGGAGAAUAAGCUCCGGCUAACUCCGUG